rnacentral:rRNA from 1 species
UACGAAGGGUGCAAGCGUUAAUCGGAAUUACUGGGCGUAAAGCGCGCGUAGGUGGUUCGUUAAGUUAGGAGUGAAAGCCCCGGGCUCAACCUGGGAAUUACUUCUAAAACUGGCGAGCUAGAGUAUGGUAGAGGGUGGUGGAAUUUCCUGUGUAGCGGUGAAAUGCGUAGAUAUAGGAAGGAACAUCAGUGGCGAAGGCGACCACCUGGACUGAUACUGACACUGAGGUGCGAAAGCGUGGGGAGCAAACAGGAUUAGAUACCCGGGUAGUCCCUGAGCGGG